rnacentral:snRNA from 1 species
GGGCCCUGGGGAGCAUGCCACCCUC